rnacentral:rRNA from 1 species
AUACGGGGGGUGCAAGCGUUAUUCGGAUUUAUGGGGCGUAAAGGGCGCGUAGGCGGCUUGGUAAGUCAGAUGUGAAAGCCCGGGGCUCAACCCCGGAAGUGCAUUUGAAACUAUCAGGCUUGAGUAUGGGAGAGGGAAGUGGAAUUCCUGGCGUAGAGGUGAAAUUCGUAGAUAUCAGGAGGAACACCGGUGGCGAAGGCGACUUCCUGGACCAAUACUGACGCUGAGGCGCGAAGGCGUGGGGAGCAAACAGGAUUAGAAACCCCGGUAGUCC